ACGCACCAACGGUGCGCUUCCGCGGCUGGUCCGUUUCGACAGCCGUGCUUCGAACGUCCUCCUGUUCGUAGAAGCGCUGCGCCGACGCCUCGGAUAAGACUGGUACGAGUAGUAGCCGCAGCAUGAAAGUGCCGUCAAAUCCGUUGGCAAGGAGAGGAGCUUGUUCGGCGGGACGCCGCUUCCAUGUCCUUCCGAGCAUGCUGCAAUACCUUGCACGGCAAAAGCUUCCGUAGAGGCUCCGCCGAACGUUCGCUCGUUCGAUGGCAUCGUAUCGAGCGCGCGGACGCGGCAAACGUUGCUCAUUGCCAAGCUGUCAGGC
rnacentral:misc_RNA from 1 species